CCCUCCGCAGCCUGGCUCCAGGCUGAGGGGGCGGGUCCAGGCCGCGGAGAUCGUCGAGGGAGUCGAUUUUCCCCUCAGCUCUCCUCUUGGAGGCCGCCGCGGACGCGAGGCUUAGGCCUGGAUGGCCCAGGAACCUCCAUACUGUUUUCCAUAGUGGCUGCACCAAUUUACAUUCCCACCAACAGUGCACAGGGUUCCAAAUUCUCCACUUCCUCAGCAAUACUUGUGAGGGCCCAGGCUGCCCAAUCCCUGCUGAAGAGGUGCAUAUUGCACAGAAAACAGUCUUCAUUCAGCCUCCCAGACCUUCCCUGAGUUCCAAUGGGCGGAUUCAAGCAGUUGUUAAUUAGGGAAGGGAGGGGAUGAGAGACCACGGACAAACUGUCAAGAACAUCCCUGGGGCAAGGUCCUCUUUCCACAUCAAGGGAUACACACAAUGCUGCUACUGCUAAGUCACUUCAGUCGUGUUGGACUCUGUGUGACCCCAUGGACAGCAGCCUACCAGGCUCCCCAGUCCCUGGGAUUCUCCAGGCAAGAGUACUGGAGUGGGGUGCCAUUGCCUUCUCCGGAUAUACACAAUAUCUUUGAGCUAUACUGCAGAUACUGAAAACCCCUCCAGGUGGGAGAUUAACAAUUAAUGUUGCUAUGCUGUCCACAAGCAUGUAGACCCCAGGCCAGUUGGACCUGAAGGUUGAUGAUGCUCCUACUUAACUCACCACCAACCCAUCAGAAGAAUGUCUGUGAGCUGACCACGCCCUCUUUGAACAAUUACUAUAAAAUUUCUCACCGUUUUCUCCAAGUUGGGACUCAGAGUUUUGAGGGCGGUAGUCUGCUGUGGCUCCCUUUGCUUGGCAGAGUAAUAAAGCUAUCCUUUUCUACUUCACUCAUAACCCUGUCUCAGAGAUUCAAUUCGACACUGGCGUACAGAGAAGCUGAACUUUCAGCCUCUGGGACUGGCCAGAUAGAGCACCACAGACCUGGAAGCCCUGGAAGAAUCCACACAAGGACUAAAAUGGAAUGUUGUUCCAAUUCUGAGCAAACCACACUCCUGUUCUCAGAUGAGUCAUUAAUAGUCCUCCCUCUCUUUACUCAAUUCCCUCUUUUACCCUGGCCCACCAUAAAUGUGGUGUCUUAACCCAAGUUGAGUUGAGAAGUUGAUUUCUGAAUUAGCUUCCCACCUCUCCAUUCUCUGGCCACUGAAUAAAGCUGUGCUGUUUCACUCUCA